CCAUGACUUCCGGCCCCUGGCCGUCCGCGCCGCGGGAUGACGUGCGCCCCGCCCACCCCUACUGCGUCGCACUUCCGGAGCAGCGCAGGUGCGAGACUUCUGCUGUCGCGGGAAGCAGCGGAGGCGUUAGGGGCGUGAUCGCGAGGCGCUCGGUGUUUAGCGACGCGGUGCUAUGGAGAAGCGCGGCGGGGGCGGGAAGGUGGCCGCCGGCCCGGACAAGCCGCCGCCGCUUCGGAAAGAGAGGAGGCCCAGCAUGUUCGACAAGGAGGCAGUAACAACAAGAAUCCUCAAAAGAAGUCAUGGCAGUGUUUGAAGUUCUGAUGACAGCUCUUUGGUGUCUACAUUUUACAGAGGAAAGAACUAAAGGAGUACAAAUAAACAGGCCAAGUUCAGAGCAAGACUAAAAAUCUUAAUCUGUUGGACUUUAAAUUUCAUGCUCCCAGAAACUCUGCUGUAUUACCUGGCAAUAAGUGUAAGUAACAGGUCACCAGCAGUAAACAAAAUUCUGUAUUUUGAAGCAGACAAACUUGCCUUCUUAAAAAUUAAUGCCUACUAAAGGUCAGAAUCUAAAGGGAGGCACACAGGUACACUUGGUAUACAGGCCGACAUCCGGGACCGAGGCAGUUCUCGCUUAUUUGAUAAGGAUAUGAUCGAUCAUAGCUGUCUAAAAUCUAGGCUUCUAGAAGUAAGAAAUUUGCAUAGCAAUAAUUGAGAAGAAACAGAAAGGAUCCCACAAAUGCUCACUAAAUGUGCCUGAGGGCAGUUAAGUACACCAGUGAGUCAGUUCAGACUUUCCCAAGUUCCUGAACAUAGAAAAAAUGAGGACACACGGUUAAAUCAAUGUAAAACACUUUUACCUGUCCUGCAUCCAUUUUUUUCCUUCCAGGAAUCCAUCUCAAUUUUCUUUUGGAGAAUUAACUCAUCCUCCAUUAGAUAGGAGUCUUGGUGGGACUGUCAGUCACUUUCCUUAGCUUUGUGGUGUGGAUGAGAGCAAAAUUAAGCUAAUUAGAUGACCUCUUCCUGGAAUAACACAAAUGGCUGAGAUUAAUUCAAGUUGAGGAUGUCACAUUGAAGAGCCUCACAUGUGGUUCUUCAGCCUUCUCUUCCAUUCCCUGAGCUACCCCAUAGCUUUCCAACUAAUUAUAUUUUUGCUUAACUAGAAUCAGUUCCUAUGGCUUUCAACCAAAAUGCCCAAAACCUUAAACAGAUAAUUAAAAACUGAAUGGUUCAUCUCACUUGGGUACAUGCAUUUGAAAAUCUUAAAUACUUGCAAAUAGCAUGUAGAAGUACAUUAAUGUACAUAGCAUCCCAUGACCAAACUCAGUUUAUUCCAGGAUUAUAAGUAGACUCAAUAUAAGGAAAUGCCAUUAUCAGUAGGUUAAGUCUUUAAACUCAGGUUUUAGGAAAUGUCAAAAAAUUGAUUAUAUUUAAAAUCUAGUCCUAGUUUUUAGAAGUCAAAAGGAUUCUUAGUAAAGGGAUAAAAUGCUCUUCAUACAGAGCAUACUAAAUCACAAGGCCAAUAUUAUAUACAAGGAAGAAAUGGUAGAGAUGCGAGAUUUCAGCAUAUUAGAAUCUCUUAUUUUUAAAUGACACAUAAAUGCCCUAUUCCAAAGGGAGUCAUUUUAGUUGUGAGCCACUGUCAAUGGUGUACUGUAGUUGCAUCACUUGAACAUAUUGUGAGGAAAAAGAUUACCCUAAAGGAGCAUUUUCUUGAUAAAGAAUUUGGUUUUAAGAGAUUUGGGGAGCUAAUGAGGCCUUUGUUCCGCAACUAAAAACAGUCUGACAAAUGAUCAAAAUGUCCGAUUUGUUUCUGAUGAAGGACUUCUACUUGGAGCCACCAUGGAGUAACUCCAAUCAGAAAUUCCUGGAAAUAACACAAUUCAUGAAACAUUUGUUUCCACUGGUUAGAUGUAAAGCAAGUCAGGAUAGUGAUACUGAGAGUGGAGAGACAGGAAAGGUGAGCACUAAGAGUCCCCCUAACUUCCUGCUGGGUAGCAUAUUCCAGCCCACACCUUAGGGAGAGGUCUCACUUGGGUACCAGGGUGGGUCAAGGUGGUAUGAGUCUGCAGAGUAUUAUGAGAGGAGAGAGAUGUACAGAUAGUUCCAGAGAUGGGCGGAUAAUUUUCCUCAUGUCUUCAAGUUAGUGCAUCACUGUGUCUGGUAAGAAACCCCCUCUUGCCAGAGAAAGAAUCACACAAAAGGACAAAAACGUCACUGGAUUCACAAACCUGUUUUUUUCCACCAGUAAGAGUAGAAAACCAUGUAAAUCACAGGGCAUUGCUUAAAGUGCCAAGAAGUGUAUUGUCUCCGUGACUGGGGUGGGGGGUGCCCUAUACGAGAUAUCUCUAGGCCGGCCUAUCAAAGCUUAAAAACGGGCCUCGAGAAUUAACCUGUUUCCAAGUGACUACGUUUUAAAGCUGAAGAAUAUAAGAAUACAAAAACAUAUAGCAAAUAGGAAAGGUUAAAUUCACAAUGUUUGAUGUCCAAUUAAAUAUUAGCAGACCUACAAAGAAAGGAAAACUCAAUCCAAAAUGAGAAGAAACAAUAAAAACAACCAGAAAUGAUUAAAAGAUAGUGUAAAAGGACACUAAAGUAGUUAUAAAAGGUAUUGUAUUAGACUCAUUUUCAGCAAGUUAAGGCAGUUAUAUAACAGUAUAAAAGUUACUAUAUUCUGUAUUUUCAAGCAUGUAGAGAAAAGAUUAAGCAUGUUAAAUCCAAAUCAAAUUUCUACAAAGUACAAUGUCAGAGAUGUAAAAUUAAUUGAAUGGAAUUAGCAGAUUCAGCGCUGCAGAACAAAGAUUUAGUGAAUUUAGAGACAGCCAGCGAAAGUAAACCUAAAAAAAUUAGGAGACAUCAUUGAACUAUAGGAAAAUUUCAGGCAAAACAUUUAUUCUUCAGUUUUGCAUCACAAAGUGAGAAGAAGAUAAGGGACAAAAAAUAUUUAGAGAAAUAAUGGAUGAGAAAUUUCCAAACUUCAUUAAAAGCUAUAAAACCAUGAAUCCAAGAAGUUCAAUGAACUUCAAGCACAAAAAAUGAAGAAAAUUACGCUGAGACAUAAUAGUCAAACUGCUUAAAAUAAACAUUUUAAAGUUUAAAGACAAGUAGGAAAAAAACAUGAGAACAAAGUUAAGUAAAUAGGAACAAAGAUGAAAUGACAGUAGACUUAUCAGAAACCAUACAAGCCAAAAGACACAGGCAUCUUUACUGAAAGAUACCUUAAAGUAACUUAAAAGGGGAAAACCCGUCAGCCAGACUCCUAUACUCAGUAAAAAUGUCUUUCAAAAACAAAGGCAAAAUAAUGAGCUUUUCAGAAAUAAAAGCUAAAAGAAUUCAUCACAAAGCUACUAUUAGAAAUGUUUAGGUCCUUAAAGCAAAAAAAAAUAUGAUACAAGAUGUAAAUUAGACAAAGCACUGAGAAUGAUAA